rnacentral:rRNA from 1 species
GACGAACGCUGGCGGCGUGCCUAAUACAUGCAAGUCGAGCGAAUUUGAUGGGAGCUUGCUCCCUGAAAAUUAGCGGCGGACGGGUGAGUAACACGUGGGCAACCUACCUGUAAGCCUGGGAUAACUUCGGGAAACCGGAGCUAAUACCGGAUAAUUUCUUUCUUCACAUGRAGAGAGGUUGAAAGACGGCUUUGCUGUCACUUACAGAUGGGCCCGCGGCGCAUUAGCUAGUUGGUGAGGUAACGGCUCACCAAGGCCACGAUGCGUAGCCGACCUGAGAGGGUGAUCGGCCACACUGGGACUGAGACACGGCCCAGACUCCUACGGGAGGCAGCAGUAGGGAAUCUUCCGCAAUGGACGAAAGUCUGACGGAGCAACGCCGCGUGAGUGAAGAAGGUCUUCGGAUCGUAAAACUCUGUUAUCAGGGAAGAACAAGUACCGGAGUUACUGCCGGUACCU